rnacentral:rRNA from 1 species
UACGAAGGGGGCUAGCGUUGCUCGGAUUUACUGGGCGUAAAGGGCGCGUAGGCGGAGGUUUAAGUCGGGGGUGAAAGCCCGGGGCUCAACCUCGGAAUUGCCUUCGAUACUGGACAUCUUGAGUACGGGAGAGGUGAGUGGAACUCCGAGUGUAGAGGUGAAAUUCGUAGAUAUUCGGAAGAACACCAGUGGCGAAGGCGACUCACUGGCCCGUUACUGGCGCUGAGGCGCGAAAGCGUGGGGAGCGAACAGG